rnacentral:rRNA from 1 species
UACGUAGGGUGCGAGCGUUGUCCGGAAUUAUUGGGCGUAAAGGGCUCGUAGGCGGCUUGUCGCGUCGACUGUGAAAACCCGCGGCUCAACUGCGGGCCUGCAGCCGAUACGGGCAGGCUAGAGUUCGGUAGGGGAGACUGGAAUUCCUGGUGUAGCGGUGAAAUGCGCAGAUAUCAGGAGGAACACCGGUGGCGAAGGCGGCCUGCUGGGCUAUGGCUGACACUGAGGCGCGACAGCGUGGGGGAGCAAACAGG